rnacentral:rRNA from 1 species
AACGAACGCUGGCGGCAUGCCUAACACAUGCAAGUCGAACGAGACCUUCGGGUCUAGUGGCGCACGGGUGCGUAACGCGUGGGAACCUGCCCUUAGGUUCGGAAUAACUCCCCGAAAGGGGUGCUAAUACCGGAUAAUGUCUUCGGACCAAAGAUUUAUCGCCUUUGGAUGGGCCCGCGUUGGAUUAGCUAGUUGGUAGGGUAAAAGCCUACCAAGGCGACGAUACAUAGCUGGUCUGAGAGGAUGAUCAGCCACACUGGGACUGAGACACGGCCCAGACUCCUACGGGAGGCAGCAGUGGGGAAUAUUGGACAAUGGGCGCAAGCCUGAUCCAGCAAUGCCGCGUGAGUGAUGAAGGCCUUAGGGUUGUAAAGCUCUUUUACCCGGGAUGAUAAUGACAGUACCGGGAGAAUAAGCUCCGGCUAACUCCGUG